rnacentral:rRNA from 1 species
UACGUAGGGGGCCAGCGUUGUCCGGAUUCAUUGGGCGUAAAGCGCGUGUAGGCGGCCGUACAGGUCCGGUGUGAAAACUCGAGGCUCAACCUCGAGAGGUCAUCGGAAACCGUACGGCUAGAGUCCGGAAGAGGAGAGUGGAAUUCCUGGUGUAGCGGUGAAAUGCGUAGAUAUCGGGAGGAACACCAGUGGCGAAAGCGGCUACCUGGCCCACUCUUGACGCUGAGGCGCGAAAGCUAGGGGAGCAAACGGG